rnacentral:sRNA from 1 species
CAUAGGGGAACUUCAACUAAGAGCGCGUACGUCUUGUACGCAACGUUGAAGUCAUCACAUCCUGUGAA